GCUUGUCUCAAAGAUUAAGCCAUGCAUGUCUAAGUGUAAAUAAGUCUAUACUGUGAAACUGCGAAUGGCUCAUUAAAUCAGUUAUCGUUUAUUUGAUGAUCUCUUACUACUUGGAUAACCGUAGUAAUUCUAGAGCUAAUACAUGACUAAAAGGGCUAGCCCUGCAUUUAUUAGAUACAACCAACCCUUCGGGUUUUGGCGAAUCAUAAUAACUGAGCGGACCGUAUUCGUACGGCGUUUCUUAUUAAUUUCUGCCCUAUCAGCUUUCGAUGGUAGGGUAUUGGCCUACCAUGGCGUUAACGGGUAACGGAGAAUUAGGGUUCGAUUCCGGAGAGGGAGCCUGAGAGAUGGCUACCACAUCCAAGGAAGGCAGCAGG
rnacentral:rRNA from 1 species